CCUACGGGAGGCAGCAGUAGGGAAUAUUGCACAAUGGAGGAAACUCUGAUGCAGCAACGCCGCGUGAGGGAAGAAGGAUUUCGGAUCGUAAAGUUCUAUUGUCAGAGAAGAACGUGACGGUGACUGACUAGUUAGCACCGUCUGACUACGUUCCCGGAGCCGCGGGAAUACGUAGGGGGCAGGCGUUAGCCCGAUUUGUUGGGUGGAAACGUGGAGUAGGCGGGUUAGCAAGUCAGGAGUGAAAGGCCGGGGGUCAACACAGAGAAUGCUUUUGAAACUGUUAAACUAGAGUGCAGGAGAGGUGAGUGGAAUUCCAUGUGUAGCGGUGAAAUGCGUAGAUAUAAGGAGGAACACCAGUGGCGAAGGCGGCUUACUGGACUGUAAAUGACGCUGAGGCUCGAAAGCGUGGGGAGCAAACAGGAUUAGAUACCCGAGUAGUC
rnacentral:rRNA from 1 species